rnacentral:rRNA from 1 species
UACGGGAGGAGCAAGCGUUGUUCGGAUUUACUGGGCGUAAAGGGCGCGUAGGCGGCCACCGCAAGUCGGUUGUGAAAUCUCUGGGCUUAACCCAGAAAGGUCAACCGAUACUGCGGGGCUAGAGUGCAGAAGGGGCAACUGGAAUUCCGGGUGUAGUGGUGGAAUACGUAGAUAUCCGGAGGAACACCAGUGGCGAAGGCGGCUUCCUGGACCGGUUCUGACACUGAGGAGCGAAAGCGUGGGGAGCGAUCCGG